GAUGAACGCUGGCGGCGUGCCUAACACAUGCAAGUCGAGCGGACGGACGAGGCUUUUGCUUGUCUGCUGCUAGCGGCGGGCGAGUGAGUCACACGUGUAUACCCUACCUAUAAGAAUGAGAUCACUUCGGGAGACCGGAUAUAACAUCCGAUAAUAUGUUGAACCGCGUGGUUCAAAAGAGAUAGACGGUCUUGUUGUCACUAAUAGAUGGAUCCGCGCUGCAUUAGCUAGUUGGUAGGGUAACGGCUUACCAAGGCGACGAUGCGUAGCCGACCUGAGAGGAUGAUCGGCCACACUGGAACUGAGACACGGUCCAGACUCCUACGGGAGGCAGCAGUAGGGAAUAUUCGGCAAUGGGCGAAAGCCUGACGCAGCAACGCCGCGUGUGUGAAGAAGGUCUUCGGAUCGUAAAGCUCUGUUAUUAGGGAAGAACAGAUGUGUGAUUAAACGUGGCCAUAUUGACGGUACCUAAUCAAAAAGCACCGGCUAACUACGUG
rnacentral:rRNA from 1 species